UACGGAGGGGGCUAGCGUUGUUCGGAAUCACUGGGCGUAAAGCGCACGUAGGCGGAUCUUUAAGUCAGGGGUGAAAUCCCGAGGCUCAACCUCGGAACUGCCUUUGAUACUGGGGAUCUCGAGUCCGGGAGAGGUGAGUGGAACUGCGAGUGUAGAGGUGAAAUUCGUAGAUAUUCGCAAGAACACCAGUGGCGAAGGCGGCUCACUGGCCCGGUACUGACGCUGAGGUGCGAAAGCGUGGGGAGCAAACAGG
rnacentral:rRNA from 1 species